GUCGUGCGCAGGCUGCGGGGCGUGUGCAGGCGAUAUUCCACGUGCGCAGGCGGCGGGGGCGUGUGCAGGUGGUGUCUCCCCCCACACACAUGGGCGGAGCUUUUGCGCUCGCCCCCCAACUCCUUCCCACGCUAUAAAGGCAGCGCUCCACGCGCUUCUCUCCAUCACACCUCCUCCUAGCACUUCAAUUCCCGCUUGUCAUCGGUCUUCAGCUGCCGCCUCCACUCGCCAUGGACCCUAACUGCUCCUGUGCCACAGAUGGCUCCUGCUCCUGCUCCGGGUCUUGCAAAUGCAAAGAGUGCAAAUGCACGUCCUGCAAGAAAAGCUGCUGCUCCUGUUGCCCGGUGGGCUGUUCGAAGUGCUCCCAGGGAUGCAUCUGCAAAGAGGCUUCGGACAAGUGCAGCUGCUGUGCCUGAAGUGGGACCCCCUCAGCCGCGUGUAAAUAGAGCAAUGUGUAGAAACGUCAUUUUUUUUACAACCCUGGCCUAUGCUCCACACCUUUCUAUGAAAGCAUGUGACUGAUAAUAAAAAGCGUUGACUUAA